rnacentral:rRNA from 1 species
CAUAUGGAGAGUUUGAUCCUGGCUCAGGAUGAACGCUGGCGGCGUGCCUAAUACAUGCAAGUCGAACGGAGUUAUAGAUAUAAGCUUGCUUAAAUUUAUAACUUAGUGGCGAACGGGUGAGUAAUACAUAAAUAACCUGCCCCGAUGUCUGGAAUAACAGUUGGAAACGACAGCUAAUGCCGGAUAUGAUAAUAUGGAGCAUUCUAAAUUAUUGAAAGAUGGGAUACAUCGCAACGGGAUGGAUUUAUGGCGCAUUAGUU